UUUAAGCAUAUAACAUUUAUAUGAGACAGCUUAAACAAUAAUCUUUGCCCUUUAUAGUUAAACUAGAUUAGUUUAACAUGCAAAAUGUCCGUAAAGUAUCAUCAUAUGAUUGGCUUUAGGGCACAUUUCCAACAAUCUCCCACUUGCACUAGAGCCAAUCAGCUUAGUCAUCAGUGAUGAUACCUCUUCUGUAGUCAUUUCAUAAAUGGCUGAAUAGUAGGCCUAGGCAAUGGAUAUCUAUAUGUUAUCCAUAGAAGCAACCUUGAGAAUAACAACGUCACCAUUAUACAUGAUUCUCAAUCAUGUGGUUCUUCUCCACACAUGAAAUAUAUGCAACCUAAAUCAAUUUUCAGUUAUCAAUUUA
rnacentral:lncRNA from 1 species